rnacentral:ncRNA from 1 species
GAUUAAGUACAUGACAUACUACGGCAAAACCACAAAUGGCUCAAUAAAUCAGUUAUGGUUCCUUGCAUUUUACUUUGCACUUGGAUAACGGUGGCAAUUCUAGAGCUAAUAUAUGCAGCAGAGGUCCGACCUUCUGGGUACAAAAGCUUUUAUAAGAAGGGGAAAAAAAAUCCCACAAUCGGACGUCAUGUCAGUAUUAUGUGGUGACUCUGUAUAGGUGGAUCACAGAGCCUCGUCCCGGCAACAUAUCUUUCACGUGUCUGCCUUAUCAACUGGCGAUGGUAGGUUAUGUGUCUACCAUGGUUAUAAUGAGUGACAUGGAAUUAGAUUUCUUUUCAAAUGAG